ACCUGCGGAAGGAUCAUUGUCGGGACCCUAACAAAAAUAGACUGUGAAUAUGUCAUCCAUGAUGUCGGGAGAUGGUCCUUGCACUGUUUCUUGUCAUAGGCCCUUCUCCUUCUGGAGGCGAGGGUCCUCAAAAGAACCCGGCGCCGGAUGGCGUCAAGGAACACUAAUAUUACGAGCAUGGGGCUAUGAUUGGCUUGCUUGUUGAGCCGUGUGCUGUGAUGCUACCUGAAUCCAUAAGACUCUCGGCAACGGAUAUCUUGGCUCUCGCAUCGAUGAAGAACGUAGCAAAAUGCGAUACCUGGUGUGAAUUGCAGAAUCCCGUGAACCAUCGAGUAUUUGAACGCAAGUUGCGCCUGAGGCCUCUUGGUCGAGGGCUCGUCCGCUUGGGCGUCACGUCAAAAGACACUCCCCCCUCACCAAGGCGUGGGAUGUGGUGCCUGGCCUUCCGUUCCACUUAAGAGGAGUGGUAGGCUAAAGUAAAGUGGCUGUUGGCUAUGGUGCCAGUCGCAGCACAUGGUGGACGACACAUGUUGUUCUCGUAGUUGCGACUUGUACUGCGUUCAGCGAUGUUGGCCAUUGGACCCAGAAAUCUAGCACUGGUUGCUUGCACUGAGACCCCAGGUCAGUCGGGAUUACCCGCUGAAUUUAAGCAUAUCAAUAAG
rnacentral:rRNA from 1 species